rnacentral:pre_miRNA from 1 species
UCUUCUAGGGCCUGAUCCAAAACCCAUUGAAGUCAGCAGCAGUCUUUCCAUUGACUUCAGUGGACUUUGGAUCAGGCCCGUCAGCGG